UUCCUUCAGGCCCUCCUCCGGAUCCUGUGUUGGAAAACUCCACUCUGGAGAUUCUCUCAGGCCCUGUGGACUGCCUCGCUCUGGAUCCUCAGCUGCAGCUCUGCUCCGGAGAUAACCACUAGCAGCGUGUUUGCAGGCCUCCGCCUGCCUCAGGGUCACUCCCACAGCGUUCCUCAGGCACCUUCUGCAGUUUCUGCCUGCUGAGAUGCUCAGCCGCUCCUCUCUCCUUGCGGCCUGCAGGGAACUGACCCCUCUCUGCCCCUCUCCAGGGCUGGAAAUACCUUUGAGCAGCCUCCCUCUGCCAAUCCUGAGUGAGACGCUGCUCCGGAAAUUUGGUGAAUGUUUCAA